AUUGAACGCUGGCGGCAGGCCUAACACAUGCAAGUCGAGCGAGCGGCGGACGGGUGAGUAAUGUCUGGGAAACUGCCGGAUGGAGGGGCAUAACUACUGGAAACGGUAGCUAAUAACGCAUACCAUCAGAUGUGCCCAGGUGGGAAUAGCUGGUAGGUGGGGUAACGGCUCACCUAGGCGACGAUCCCUAGCUGGUCUGAGAGGAUGACCAGCCACACUGGGACUGAGACACGGUCCAGACUCCUACGGGAGGCAGCAGUGGGGAAUAUUGCACAAUGGGCGAAAGCCUGAUGCAGCCAUGCCGCGUGUGUGAAGAAGGCCUUCGGGUUGUAAAGCACUGUCAGCGGGGAGGCGUUACCCGCAGAAGAAGCACCGGCUAACUCCGUGCCAGCCGCCGCGGUAAUAC
rnacentral:rRNA from 1 species